UACGGCCACAUCGCAUUGAAACACGGGAUCCCGUACGAUCACCGAAUUUAAGCAAAGUCGCGCCUGGGCAGUAUCUAGAUGGGUGACCGAUUGCAAAUACCAAGUGCUGUAA
rnacentral:rRNA from 1 species